rnacentral:rRNA from 1 species
UACGGAGGAGGCAAGCGUUAUCCGGAAUUAUUGGGCGUAAAGCGUCCGCAGGUGGCGAAUCAAGUCCGCUGUCAAAGCCUGGGGCUCAACCCUGGAGGGGCAGUGGAAACUGAUUAGCUAGAGAGCGGUAGGGGCAGAGGGAAUUCCUGGUGUAGCGGUGAAAUGCGUAGAUAUCAGGAAGAACACCGGUGGCGAAAGCGCUCUGCUGGGCCGCGACUGACACUGAGGGACGAAAGCUAGGGGAGCGAAAGGG